GUGGGCUACAUCACAGGCUGGCUGGAGAACAACAAAGACCCCUGAGUGAAACAGUGGCGGGCUUGUUCCAGAAAUCGGCCCUGCGGAUCCUGGCCCUUCUCCUCAAAGAAGAGGAGGCUCCAGAGCCUGUCAUGGGGCUGCCUGCCCCCGUGCUGGUUACUGACAUGAAAGAAGCAAGAAACAGAAGAGAGGCUCCUCCUUCAUGACAAUCUCCAACUUCUACAGGGGAAGUUAAACAAGCUGAUGGCCACCCUUCACAGCACCACCCCCCGUUUGGUCUGCUGUAUUGUCCCCAAUGAGUUCAAGCAAUCAGGUACAUCAUGGGGACAUGUCUCCCUGCUGGAUGUCCUCGGGAUCCGUGGAGUUAGGGUUUGCUCCGAAUUAAACCCACUUUUAAUCAUCACGGAUGACUGGGGCAAAAUGGGGCAUUGAAAGAAUUCCCAACAAUGGAUCAUCCAAAAAUUGUAUUCUAGCUGUUUUAU